CUCAGUUCGGAUUGGAGGCUGAAACCCGCCUCCAUGAAGUUGGAUUCGCUAGUAAUCGCGCAUCAGCCAUGGCGCGGUGAAUACGUUCCCGGGCCUUGUACACACCGCCCGUCAAGCCAUGGGAGCCGGGGUGCCUGAAGUUCGUGACCGCAAGGAGCGACCUAGGGCAAAACUGGUGACUGGGGCUAAGUCGUAACAAGGUAAC
rnacentral:rRNA from 1 species